UGGGGAAUAUUGCACAAUGGGCGCAAGCCUGAUGCAGCCAUGCCGCGUGUGUGAAGAAGGCCUUCGGGUUGUAAAGUACUUUCAGCGGGGCGGAAGGGAGUAAAGUUAAUACUUUGGCCCUUUGACGUUACCCGCAGAAGAAGCACCGGCUAACCCCGUGCCAGCAGCCGCGGUAAUACGGAGGGUGCAAGCGUUAAUCGGAAUUACUGGGCGUAAAGUGCACGCAGGCGGUUUGUUAAGUCAGAUGUGAAAUCCCCGGGCUCAACCUGGGAACUGCAUCUGAUACUGGCAAGCUUGAGUCUCGUAGAGGGGGGUAGAAUUCCAGGUGUAGCGGUGAAAUGCGUAGAGAUCUGGAGGAAUACCGGUGGCGAAGGCGGCCCCCUGGACGAAGACUGACGCUCAGGUGCGAAAGCGUGGGGAGCAAACAGG
rnacentral:rRNA from 1 species